GAUGAACGCUGGCGGCGUGCCUAACACAUGCAAGUCGAACGAAGCACUUUAUUCGAUUUUCUUCGGAGAUGAAGAUUUAGUGACUGAGUGGCGGACGGGUGAGUAACGCGUGGAUAACCUGCCUCACACUGGGGGAUAACAGUUAGAAAUGACUGCUAAUACCGCAUAAGCGCACAGUACCGCAUGGUACGGUGUGAAAAACUCCGGUGGUGUGAGAUGGAUCCGCGUUUGAUUAGCCAGUGGGCGGGGUAACGGCCCACCAAAGCGACGAUCAAUAGCCGACCUGAGAGGGUGACCGGCCACAUUGGGACUGAGACACGGCCCAAACUCCUACGGGAGGCAGCAGUGGGGAAUAUUGCGCAAUGGGGGAAACCCUGACGCAGCGACGCCGCGCGAGCGAUGAAGUAUUUCGGUAUGUAAAGCUCUAUCAGCAGGGAAGAAUAAAUGACGGUACCUGACUAAGAAGCCCCGGCUAACUACGUGCCAGCAGCCGCGGUAA
rnacentral:rRNA from 1 species